AGAUUGAACGCUAGCGGCAUGCCUAACACAUGCAAGUCGAACGGUAACAGGCCCUUCGGGGUGCUGACGAGUGGCGGACGGGUGAGUAAGGCAUCGGAAUCUGCCCUGAUGUGGGGGAUAACGUAGGGAAACUUACGCUAAUACCGCAUACGACCGAGAGGUGAAAGCGGGGGACCGAAAGGCCUCGCGCAGCAGGAUGAGCCGAUGUCCGAUUAGCUAGUUGGUGGGGUAACGGCCUACCAAGGCGACGAUCGGUAGCUGGUCUGAGAGGAUGAUCAGCCACACUGGGACUGAGACACGGCCCAGACUCCUACGGGAGGCAGC
rnacentral:rRNA from 1 species